rnacentral:RNase_P_RNA from 2 species
AAAGUUUGACAGACAAUCGCUGGCAGCCUCGUUGCUGCGAGAGGAAAGUCCGGGCUCCACAGGGCAGGAUGCUGGAUAACGUCCAGUCAGCGCGAGCUGAAGGAUAGUGCCACAGAAAUGGACCGCCGAUGGCCCCGUAAAGGGGCACAGGCAAGGGUGGAACCGUGGUGUAAGAGACCACGAGGAGUACAGGUGACUGUAUUCCUGGUAAACCCCAUCUGGAGCAAGACCGAGAGGAUGUGGCGGCCGCAAGGCCGCAGCCUUAGCCCGAGGCGCAUCCGGGUUGGUUGCUUGAGCUGUUCAGCAAUGGACGGCCUAGAUAGAUGAUUGUCGCUUCCUAGUGGGAGGGUCGUUCCCGUUUGCACCACCAGAAGUACAGAACCCGGCUUACGGCAAACUUUCCGC